UACAGGGGGUGCAAACGUUGCUCGGAAUUAUUGGGCGUAAAGCGCACGUAGGCGGUUCGUUAUGUCAGAUGUGAAAGCCCUUGGCUCAACUGAGGAAGUGCAUCUGAAACUGGCGAGCUAGAGUAUGUAAGAGGGUCGCGGAAUUCCCGGUGUAGAGGUGAAAUUCGUAGAUAUCGGGAAGAACACCCGUGGCGAAGGCGGCUCUCUGGGACGGUACUGACGCUGAGACGCGAAAGCGUGGGGAGCGAACAGG
rnacentral:rRNA from 1 species